rnacentral:rRNA from 1 species
AUUGAACGCUGGCGGCAUGCCUUACGCAUGCAAGUCGAACGGUAACAGGUCUUCGGACGCUGACGAGUGGCGAACGGGUGAGUAAUACAUCGGAACGUGCCCAGUCGUGGGGGAUAACUACUCGAAAGAGUAGCUAAUACCGCAUACGAUCUGAGGAUGAAAGCGGGGGACCUUCGGGCCUCGCGCGAUUGGAGCGGCCGAUGGCAGAUUAGGUAGUUGGUGGGAUAAAAGCUUACCAAGCCGACGAUCUGUAGCUGGUCUGAGAGGACGACCAGCCACACUGGGACUGAGACACGGCCCAGACUCCUACGGGAGGCAGCAGUGGGGAAUUUUGGACAAUGGGCGAAAGCCUGAUCCAGCAAUNCCGCGUGCAGGAUGAAGGCCUUCGGGUUGUAAACUGCUUUUGUACGGAACGAAAAAGCUUCUCCUAAUACGAGAGG